AAUGACGCAUGAGAUAUAAGCCCUUCCUCUCUUAUAUCGUUGCGGCUCCGAGGCCGCGCCACUUGAAUUUAAAGCGUCUUAGAUGUUU
rnacentral:sRNA from 1 species